ACAAGUGCCAAAAAAUAAAGUAAAGCUUCACUUCCUGUCUGUUCCCGUUGGAUAAAAUAGGCAUCCUGAAAAAAUACUAUUUCGUUACAUUUCUUUCUGUCGUCGGAAUUAAACUGUACUAAUAUAGAUACGGGGAAACACUGAUGAGGCCCAGAAAGCCUAACUGGUCUACAGAGCAAAAGCUGCUGUUGGUGCAGCUAGUGAAAGCCAGGAGAGAAGGUCUACUGACUGGCAGGCAUUCUUGCCGUGAGACAGCAACCAACCGGAGAUGGGCAUGGGAUGAGAUUGCGGAGGAAAUCUCCACUGCCCACCCUGAUGUUCCCCGUACAGGAAAGGAGUGUGAGAGACACUGGUUUAUAGAGCAAGCCAAAGCUAGAGAGGCUAUGGUAACCCAAAAGUCACCCACAGAACAUAUCAAUCCAGUGACCAAUCUUGUGCUGGAAAUCCUCAGACUACAGAGAAAGGAUACAGAGUUUAGAGACAGGAUGGAAGAAGACAGUACAAGCUGUCAAGAAGAGGAGGAGGAACAAAUGGAAGUGAAAUAUGUUCCAACUACAGUUACACCUUUUAUAAACAUUGAGUUGCCCCUAAAUCACACAAAUAAUAAUAGUGAAGAUAAUGCUCCAGCCAGUCCCCUAUGCCCACUGUCACCCUCUGCAGAAAAAAAGACCCUAGAGAUAUCUGUUCUUCGCCGUCAAGAACGUGUGUUACAGUUGCAGGAGGAAUACUAUUCCCUCAAAAUAAAACAUCUCAAAGCACGGAUGUUGAUGGACCUUUGAUGGGACAGUGAGGCAUGAGGAAAAACGACUGUUUUACUGUUUUAAAAACACAACACUAGGAAUUCUAGGUCUAGAUUUCUAUUGUCAUAGCUGUGGCUUCAAUUAUCUGUUGAUUUAUCAAAGGCUGAUCAUAUGGACUACAAUUCUGAUUAGUCUCCAGAGAAACAGAAUGAAUCCUUUAGUUGUUGUACACUGUAUGUGUAUGCUUCAUGAGAAAUUGUCUGGCUCAGUAAUAUCCAGUGUUCAGUAUUUGAUAUGACACCUUUUCACCAAUAGAUGGCAAGAUAGUAAUUUAUUUUCUCACUUGUAAUACUGUAUUUAAAAUGUGGAUAUCCAGGCAAGCAUUGUAUAGACACUGCUAUGAUGUGCUGAUCUGAGUUCUGUCUGCCUAAUUAGAGCUAAUAAGGUUUUGAAUGUCCAACUGGUUUUAAACAUAAACUUAUGAGCAAUAUCAACUUAAAGGCAGGAGACAGAAACUGAAAGGUUGUAGAGGUAUUUGUCAAAGAUAUCUUAAAAUUCCAGGUAGGAGUCUGUAGUUUGCAGGCCAAUUUUAGUGCUGCACUGACAAACACUUUAAAAUAACAACAUAGUAAAACUGUAUGAAUGUUUAUAUUCUCUGUCAGAGGGUGUGAUGCUAUUUCUUGUUGUUUCAGCUAUAAGUGUUCCACUGCAAAUCUUGUUAAAUAAUGGCCCUGUUCAGACCUGGUAUUUCCAUCCAUCUCAGUUGAUCUGAUCAUAAGUUAUCAACUGAGAAUGCUAACUGUUCACACCUGGUAUUUCCUUGUUUCGAAUGUGUGUUCAGUGAACACUUGUAAUUUGUUAGUUGCAGGGUGCCAAAUCUGCCAAAAGCAAUCCAACAUCACUUCAAAAUCCAACCUAAAAAUACUACCCAAUGCCAAAUGAAAACAAUUUCCAAUGAUAUUUUCUAAAUAAACCAUCAGAUACAGAAGGUCUGUAAAAUUUUUACUCACAUUGUACAGCAUUCCCAUCUGGUUGUGCAGCAUUUUGAUGGGAUUUGCUCAUCUAACCAUGCUUAAUGUGUUUUCAACAGUCACAUAAAUGAAAAGAGAAGGACAUAACUUGUGACCUGUGAAUUCAGGCUUAGGUUUGCCUAGACCUUCAGCCUAGGGUUAGGCUUGUGACUCAAAAGAAAAUGAGUGGGUGGGACUGUAGUCUCUUUGGUCAGUAAAAAAAAUUAUGUAGCGAUCAUGCCAAAUUUUGUCUUGCUGUUUUGCCUUACUGUUACUUGGUUAUUUGUUAGCUAGUUACCCCUACAUUAGGACUGCCUGUAGUCCUAUGACUUUGUAAUUUCAAACUGUCUGUAAUUGCAGGAAAACAGGAUGAUGCAAAUAAGCUGUGGCACUGGCCUAACACCGGACUAGCAUAAGAAUUAGCGUAAUGUUGAUAUGUGCAACUUGACAGUAUAAUGAGAUCAGUUUGUAUGCAGAAAAGUGGAUUGGGCUUUUUAUUUUUAUUAAAAAAAAUAAUAAUUACAGGUCACUCAAUAAUAAAAGUACAGGAUGGAUUGUGCUGUGUGCAAAAUAAGAACACAAGCAUUUUGUUUUCCUGUUUAGGCAAACAAGUUGUUUGAUUUGUUUGAUGUUUUCCUUCCAUUAUCCAUUCACUCAUCAUGAGUAAUCCCUGUAACAAUUCCCUUUUUUUGGUUCAGAGGAAAAUGAGGAAAUGGGAGGCAGGCUUGCGACAACUCAACAAGGGCUCUUUAUUUACUUUACUUUUUUUUUUUUUACUUUUGCUUUUCAGCAAUUUUAUUCUACUGUGCACAUAUAAAUACACACAGCUCUGUGCUGCUCUCGUAUCUCUCUCUCUCUCUCUCUCUCUCUCUCUGGCUGGUUUAUGGUAGGCUCUGGAAGCACAAAAAGACACCCAUAAACUUGAGCUAACACGACACAGGUGAAAAUCAUCAUGCGUUACCUGCCGGUUUGACCUGCCUCUUCUCCGUCCACAGCCGAUGCUCGACCAUGCCGCCGCAUACCCCCACCGUCCUGACGGGAGAGGUAAUCCGCCACCACCAUCUGCGCCCCCGGCAUGUGGACUACCUCGAAUCUGAAUGGCUGAGGUGCCUUGGCAUCCUUCAUGCGGUGGAGCCAUUGGGCAUGAGCAGAACACAGGGUAAAAGGGUGCCCCAGCAGUUGGUAUCAGAGGGUAAGGACCGCCCACUUAAUGGCCAGACGCACUUUCUCAGUAGUCGACUUCUCCCACUUGCUAUGUGACCUCAAAGGGUCCUUGCCACUUUGCGAGUAAUUUAGAGCUUGACGUGGGUAGUAAAACGAGCUGAAUACCCCUGUUAUACACCCGUGAUUGAUGUUCUUGCACCUGUAGCAAAUUCUCCUGUGUUAAUUUUCCCAGGGUGUGAAGUUUUGCUCUCAGGUCAAGAACUUACUGAAUUUCACUUUUACUGUUAGAAGGUGCCUCCUCCCAAUUUUCUCGAAUUACGGCUAACACCCGUACAAUAAUUCAAAUGGGGAAACCACAUGGAGGCUUGCAGGACCCCUCUACUGCUAAUAACAGGGACUUGAGCCACUUAUCCCAAUUCCGCGCAUCAUCGUGAAUGACCUUAUGAAUCAUUUUUAAGCGUUUGAUUAAACCGUUCCACCAACUCAUCCAUCUGCGGAUGGUAAACCCUGGUGCGAAUCGAUUUAAUUCCCAAUAAUUCGUAAAGUACAUGUGGUGUCUGUGACAUGAAUAUAGUGCCCUGGUCAGCGAGGAUCUCCUUCAGGAUCCUGACUCGAGAGAUAACCCAAAAAAUAAAUCACGGAUUCUGGAAAUCACAUUGCAUAAUCCACCAGGAUUACACAAAGCGAUAUCCUUUCGUGCACCUUUCUAAUACCCCGAUGAGGUCCAUGCCUCCUGGAAACUGCUUUUGAAGGGGACCUCAAUUAAUGGAAGGGGGCGCAAUGGCGCUUUUGGGGCAGCCGGCAGAUUCACCAGCUGACAUUCGCGACAUGCCACACACCACCUGCGAACACUGACACAAAUGCCCAGCCAAUAAAAUCGGGCCAUGAGACGGUUCAGUGUUUUAUCCUGCCCCAAAUGCCCAGCCAUGGGAUUAUGAUGAGCUGCAUGAAACAGGAGUUCCCUACGGCUCUUUAGCACUAACAACUGUGUCUUGUAUUCCUUAGUUUGAGUGUCCUGUGUCACUCGAUCUUUCACAGUUUGCUGACCAUCGAUUACUCUCACUUGGUCAAAGGCAUGCCUCAGGGUAUUGUCGCAUGACUGCUCAGAGGGGAAUCCCUGCCCAGGGUCUGCAACAAUGUUUAGGUGGGUGGUACGUGUCAAAAUAACAUCCACAUGAAUGCCAGGAGCCAAGGUUUCCCAGCAGAACAUUGCACAGAGCAUCACACUUCCUCCGCCAGCUUACCUUCUUCCCACAGUGCAUCCUGGUGCCAUCUCUUCCCCAGGUAAGCAACCCACACGCAUCUGGCUGUCCACAUGAUGUAAAAGAAAAUGUGAUUCAUCAGACCAGGCCACCUUCUUCCAUUGUUCCAUGGUCCAGUUCUGAUGCUCAUGUGCCCAUUGUAAGCUCUUUCAGCGGUGGACAGGGGUCAGCGUGGGCACUCUGACCAUUCUGCAGCUAGGAACCCCCUAUACGCAGCAACCUGCGAUGCACUAUGUUCUGACACCUUUUAAUCAUAGCCAGCAUUAACUUUUUCAGCAAUUUGUGCUACAGUAGCUCUUCUGUGAGAGUGGACCAGACAGGCUAUCCUUCUCUCCCCAUGCACAUCAAUGUGCCCAUGACACUGUCGCCUGUUCACCGGUUGUCCUCCCUUUGACCACUUUUGGUAGAUACUAACCACUAGAUACCAGGAACACCCCGUAAGACCUACUGUUUUGAAGAUGCUCUGACCCAGUCAUCUAGCCAUCACAAUUUGGCCCUUGUCAAAGUCACUCAGAUUGCUCAUUUUUCCUGCUUCAAACAUGUCAACUGUGACAACUGUCUGUUCACUUGCUGCCUGUUCACUUGACAGGUGCCACUGUAAAGAUAAUCAAUGUUAUUCACUUCAACUCUCACUGGUUUUAAUGUUAUGGCUGAUCUGUGUGUGUGUGUGUGUAUACAUAUAUACAUAUAUAUAUAUAUAUAUAUAUAUAUAUAUAUAUAUAUAUAUAUAUAUAUAUAUACACACACAUACCAACUCAGAAAGAGAAGAUCUGCUCAUGAUCCAUUUUUUUCCAUUUUCCAAUUUCAUGUCAAACCAUUUUCUUCUUACCUCACUUAAUUAACAUUUGAUUCAUUUUUUCCAUAAUUUGGAUUUUGGCCUUUCAGGUGCUGUUACACUGUUAAAUAAUAUAUUUUUUUGGCAUAGAUGUGACUCAAAAUAACUUUCAUGUCUACCUCUGAUAAAGUCUAUAGUCUAUUUUUGCCUUUUGCUUGUAAUUUCAGCAGUAAGCUUUGUCUUCUAUAAAGUUUUGUAUACAACAAAUGAAUGUAUACAACAUUAAAAACAAAUUAAAUUGAGUUGGCACUUGUCAGUUCACAAGCAGAUUCACUGCUUAGCAACUUGUGGUAAGUCACUGAUGAAUAAUACUACUAAAAUUGUUGACUAUUAAAAUGUUAUACUGGAUUCAUAUGGUUUUUCCUGUUUUCUUUUCUGUUUAUUUUGUCUAUGUCUGUUCUCAUUAUGCCAUAUCCCAUUGCAUUCUCCUCUCUUCUGCCACCUGCAACAAAGAACUAAACAGUUACGUACAUGAACAUGUGUGCAAAAUUAACUUCAACCCUAUUCUGUCUGAGAUAAACUUUGCCAUCACCUAUUUUACUUACAAAAAGUAGGUAAAAUGUAGCUCCUAAAUAGCUAUUAAUUCAGUUCAGUUCACUUUUAUUUACGUAUCACGUUUAACACUAGAAAUUAUAAUUACCCAUAAUAUUAGACUCCCAAUGUUUUGUACGAAAAUAC